GUGGGGAAUAUUGGACAAUGGGCGAAAGCCUGAUCCAGCCAUGCCGCGUGUGUGAAGAAGGUCCUCGGAUUGUAAAGCACUUUAAGUUGGGAGGAAGGGCAGUAAGUUAAUACCCUGCUGUUUUGACGUUACCGACAGAAUAAGCACCGGCUAACUUCGUGCCAGCAGCCGCGGUAAUACGAAGGGUGCAAGCGUUAAUCGGAAUUACUGGGCGUAAAGCGCGCGUAGGUGGUUUUGUAAGUUGGAGGUGAAAUCCCCGGGCUCAACCUGGGAACUGCCUCCAAAACUGCAUGACUAGAGUACGGUAGAGGGUAGUGGAAUUUCCUGUGUAGCGGUGAAAUGCGUAGAUAUAGGAAGGAACACCAGUGGCGAAGGCGACUACCUGGACUGAUACUGACACUGAGGUGCGAAAGCGUGGGGAGCAAACAGGAUUAGAAACCCCGGUAGUCC
rnacentral:rRNA from 1 species